UAAUUUUUUCACGAACUAUAGUCAUCAGAGUUAAACUCCUCUUUUUGGUUGAUUUGUUUUGGCUGGCUCUGUAGAGGUUCCAGCAAGGCUGGGGUCACCUGCUUCUUCUUCUUCUUCUUUUAUAACAAUGGACACCUGCUCAUGACAUCCAUGGAUGGAUCCUUGCUCUUCCCCCCUCCUUUUCUUUCGAUUUUCUUUUUGUCCAACCUCGUGUGUAUUACUGGCUAGUUAUUUAAUAUUAAAAGCGAGAGAGAGGGAGGGAGAGAGAGUCAAACAUAACAUCCGUCAUGAUCUGAAUAAUCCGACUGCAUAAACAAAAGUAAAAUGCUGAUUUUUACGAAGUCCUUCACUUGUAAAUAUUUGUUUAUAAAUGAACUUGUGACAUUUUGAGAUUCGAAGACACCACUAGAUCAUUAAAAGUACCUUGAUUUUCUUUUGAAAGUUAAAAUUCAGGUAAGAUUUGAAUUUAAACCAACCUCUUGCCAUGCCCAAUUCUGGUUCUAGGCCUUCCCCUGGUUUCCCAAUGGCGUCCCUGCCUGGGACCACUCUUUGGUCAACUGGAAAGCCGCCCUCAGGAUCCCAACCAUCCUUAUUACCGCCCAAUGUAGCAGCAGGACGACUCGCUGGCCCUCCUGUUAGUCAGCCCCCACCUCCUUUAGCUUCCAGACCGUCGCCUCCGGGGUCAAUGCCCUCUUCUAUGCGUGGUCCCGCAGUGCCUCCUUCUGGUGGCUUCCCUUCUCCUGGUUCACCUAGUGGUCCUACUGUUCCGCCACCACCAGGGGUUCGCGCGAGUCCUUUUGCUUCGUCUUCUCCGUUGAGUUCUGGUCCAGUUGUUAACAUAUUGAGCGUGCCACCUAAUGAAGCAGUGAGUAAUGGGAUGUCGUUUGCUUCUGGUUCUAUGCUUGGUGGGCCUAGAUUCCCUCCAGUUAGCAGUACCCCACCACCACCUAUGGGAUCUCCACCAAUUGUUUCAGCUCCAGCUCCCCCUCAAGCUCCACCAGUUUCUUCUAUGCAAUCACGGCCGCCAUUUUCUGCUGGAGGUCCAGGUGUGCCGCCACCUUUUUUAGCGGGAUCUCAAGGUGUACCGCCACCCCCAGGUCCUCCCUCUGGAGCACAGACAUGGUCACUGCAACCUCAGCAGCCACCUACAAAGUUUGGAACGCCUCCACAUUUAGCAAACCAAGGUAUGAUGUCUAUAUCGCCUGCUAUGGGCCAAAAUGGAGCCUCUCUUGCAGGGCAACCAAAGAUGCAUAGCAAGAGUGUUCCAAGGUCCACUCUAACCUCUGAAUCAAUCCAUCAUGAAACAAGUCUGAACUAUCAGGCUAACCCUCCUCCCGCAUGUCAUGUGAACUUCUUAUGGAAGGGGCAUAUUGCUUGAUUUGUUUUGAUACUGGCUAGAGCAGAUUCUAUGAUUUGAUCAUUUUUUCUUUGUAUUUCUUUUAUUCCUUGUAUAUUUUUUUGGGUAGAAAAAUGAAAUGUUAAUGCAGUAAAAUGGAGGAAAGUAAAGAACAGGAGGAUGAGAAUUCCACGCAAACUUGAAAAAACUAAAGCAUUAGAAGAAAAAAGACAAACACCAAAUCCCUUCAAUUCUGCAUUUUUUGUUUUUGCCAAAAAUAAUCUCACGUAUGCUGUCUUUGCUUGUGUAGAACCAGGUUCUAUAUAUUGUUCGUUCCUUUUUUUUUUCUCAUUACAUUUGAUGUUUUGAAGCCUGCUUCAAGUGAGUAAAUAGCCAGAGACUCUGGUAAUUGCAGUCCACGAUACAUGAGGUGUACUAUCAAUCAGGUCAUGUUUGAGCAUUUAGUAUCUUUGAAUCCCUUGUAUGCUUUCGAAUGAACUAAAAGGUUAUAUGUUAUGCCAAAUUUUGGUAAAUAUUUCCUCGCAUCCUAAGGAAUAAUUGUUAAUCUCACAGUUCUUGGGAGGAAAUCUCAAUUUUUUACUGGUUUAUCUGAUCAUCAAACUAACAAUUUUAAACUGCAAUUCUGUGUUUAUGCUAUUGAGUUUUCUUGAUAUAGGUUGUGGACUUUGGGGAAAGUGGUCCUGUGAGGUGUUCUCGUUGCAAAGGUUACAUAAAUCCUUUCAUGAAACUCAUUGAUCAUGGAACUGGAAGACGAUUCACCUGUAACUUUUGUGGGUUUGCUGAAGAGACUCCCGUGGCUAUCAG